rnacentral:rRNA from 1 species
GAUGAACGCUGGCGGCGUGCCUAAUACAUGCAAGUCGAGCGAACAGAUAAGGAGCUUGCUCCUUUGACGUUAGCGGCGGACGGGUGAGUAACACGUGGAUAACCUACCUAUAAGACUGGGAUAACUUCGGGAAACCGGAGCUAAUACCGGAUAACAUAUUGAACCGCAUGGUUCAAUAGUGAAAGGCGGCUUUGCUGUCACUUAUAGAUGGAUCCGCGCCGUAUUAGCUAGUUGGUAAGGUAACGGCUUACCAAGGCAACGAUACGUAGCCGACCUGAGAGGGUGAUCGGCCACACUGGAACUGAGACACGGUCCAGACUCCUACGGGAGGCAGCAGUAGGGAAUCUUCCGCAAUGGGCGAAAGCCUGACGGAGCAACGCCGCGUGAGUGAUGAAGGUCUUCGGAUCGUAAAACUCUGCUAUCAGGGAAGAACAAAUGUGUAAGUAACUGUGCACAUCUUGACGGUACCUGAUCAGAAAGCCACGGCUAACUACGUG